CUCUGUCCUGUUCCCCCUCCUUUAGUAUUAGACUGUGGCUAUCACUAAGCCCCUAUUAAAGACAGAGGUAGAUAAGCCUUGGGGAAAAUGUGAGACAACAACCACCCUACCCUGUUGUCUGAGAACAGGGAGAGGUGGAAGGAGGAGGUUUCCCUUUGCAAAGAAUUUAUAAACACUGAGGAAAGGAACAGUUUGCUUUAAAGUGAUCAACACCUUGACACUGUCUUCUGCAAAACCAACCAGCCAUCCUCCCAAAAGCAAAAGCUUCAUUUACAGAGAAACCAAUAAAUGUUCAUGGGAGAUGACUGCAUGAAGAAAAUGUAUUUGCAGUGAUUAUACAAGGAGAAAUGGUGAGUAUUUAGCUUUUAUUGCCAUGAAAUGUCCAUGUAAGCUAUAGCACAUUAGUCUUAAUAAAUACAGUGACCAAAAGAUGUUCAGUUCAUCUAAAAGCAUGUUAACAAAUGGCUUGAUCUUAGUGUAGAAUCACCUACAGAAGUGCUACGUAAAUGACUCUGAUAGCAUGUAGCUCCUUAGUCGGUGAGAAAAAAGUAAAACUAGAUCCAAUGGGUGACUGAUGAAACUAGAUUAAUUCAGAUUAAAAUUAUGUUUUAAAUUCUUGAGAAAAAUAUACCUAGUCUUCAUUUCUUGCGGUCUUCAAAUAAAGACUGGAUACUGUAAACUAUGCAUAUUUCUAGUCUUGACAUAAAAUAAAUGAGAGAGGUUCUAUGUGGGAGGCCUAAUGAAAAUUGCCCUAGAACUGUCUUAAAAUAUUACUAUUUUGUUUUCAAAAGGUUUUAAGAAACAGUGGAUACAGUAUAUAACAAGCUAUCAUUAACACUGACUGUUGACUAUGUGGAACGCCAGUACAUGUCCAUUCCCUCUGCAAAUGGCACUGAUACCUUGAUUAUGUCAAGUCUCC